CGGGGAUAUAAAAAACACUCUGCAGCCUUUCUCCUUUCAUUCAUCACUUCUCUGAACCACUGGACGUGAGCGGAGCAGCAAGACGCAAAGAUGAAUAAGCUGGGUAUCGCUUCCCUUGGACUUCUGCUUCUGGUUUUCCAUCUGUCAUUAGAGAUGGCCUGGGCGUCUGACAAAAACGCGACGGCCACAAACGCGACGAACCACGCCAGCUCCGAGAGGACCGCCUACCUCAUGCUGCUGCUCCCGCUGGCUCUGGCUUCUGUGCUCCACGUUCGUUGGUCCCAGUAACCGGACUGAUGGCUCUCCACACUAUACACCGUCGUGAAGGUUGGAGGCACGGAGUUAAUCAAAGUUCUUUCAAAGAUUUUUUUUUUUUUUUUUACUCACCCUGAGGAAUUUGUUUUGGAAGGAGCGCACACUGCCGUUGGGACGUGCAGUUCAACAACCGAGGACACGCCUUGAUGCUCUUAGUCGUUAUAGCCACUUCUUGCAGGGGCCUUUCAUGGACUACAUUAAAAUUCAGCUUCAACACCCGUCUCUUGGUUUAGGUGUCUUCUAUAUAUUUUUAACAUGUAAUUCGUGCUACCUGUGCUCCUUAAAAGAAAUCAUAUUAUGGAUACUUGAUUCAGGCUUCAGACCUUAAAGUCAUUGUAAACAAGUUUAAAGUUUUUUGUUUCAAACAGCUGGGAAAAAUGUGACUAAUGUAAACAUGAUUGUGCUUUUAGAUCAGGAAUUUUGCAUUUUGUAAGUUCAAUAAAGUUCUAAAUUGA